rnacentral:sRNA from 2 species
UGUUUUCCUUGCCAUAGACACCAUCCCUGUCUUCCCCCACAUGAUGUGGGGGUUUUUU